GUGGUGACCAACUGCCCCACUGAGCACUUGUGCAUUUAACAUUCAGUUUCGUUGCUGAGCUCUCCGUUUGGCCGGUGUCAGUGCCAGUUUCCAUCGGUGACUCCUGGGAAAUAUAAAUACAGUUUGGCAACAUUACUGCUCGCCUCAGCUGGUUCUUCACAAUCCUGGAUAAAAG